rnacentral:rRNA from 1 species
CCUACGGGAGGCUGCAGUGAGGAAUAUUGGUCAAUGGGCGCGAGCCUGAACCAGCCAAGUAGCGUGAAGGAUGACUGCCCUACGGGUUGUAAACUUCUUUUAUAAAGGAAUAAAGUGAGGCACGUGUGCCUUUUUGUAUGUACUUUAUGAAUAAGGAUCGGCUAACUCCGUGCCAGCAGCCGCGGUAAUACGGAGGAUCCGAGCGUUAUCCGGAGUUAGUGGGUUUAAAGGGAGCGUAGAUGGGUUGUGAAGUCAGUUGUGCCAGUUUGCGGCUCAACCGUAAAAUUGCCAUUGAGACUGGCAGUCUUGCGUACCGUUGCGCUAGGCGGCAUUCGUGGUGUAGCUG